AGAAAGACGAAUAACGAGAAGGAUGCUAUGGAGCCGCAAAGUGCUUCGUUGACCUACCUAUGUGGAAUUGGCACUGUAAGUGAAAUUGUACAGUUUCAUCAUCGUACACGAGUAACCGGUCCAGUGUCCGAUCUCUUUCCAAUAAGACUUCAGACUUUCCUGCAGAUCCAAACUACCAAGGUUGGAUUCUGGAUGAGUAUGCCUGAUGAAGUACCGUAAAAGAUCAACCAGGAGCAGGAAGCAGGAUAAAUGAAACCGCGCUGGUAAGUUUUUAUUUUUGAUCGACUGAAAUGAAAACCCCGACCAGUAGGGACACGGCAGGUAUUUCCGUCCAUCGUCGUAGGGGCUAAAACCAACGAAAGCAACGUACAUUUGCUAGAACCCCACUAUAGCAGAACGUUUCUCCUGAGCUUACGAUUUGGCAAUUUUUGCUACAAAACAAAAUUGUCAGGAUCAUGCUUCGACCUACUAUUUGAUGGAGUCCGGUACAAGAGCAAUCUGGCGGAAUGGGAUUAACGGAAGUAGUUGCUAAGCAAUGGUAACAUGCGAGUAGUCGAAGAAUGCAGUCACGGCCUGAUCAGCAUCCUAUAGUCGUGUCAUCAAGGAAA